AGCGAACGCUGGCGGCAGGCUUAACACAUGCAAGUCGAGCGCCCCGCCAGGGGGGCGGCAGACGGGAGAGUAACACGUGGGAACAUACCAUUUGGUUCGGAACAACUGAGGGAAACUUCAGCUAAUACCGGAUAAGCCCUUACGGGGAAAGAUUUAUCGCCGAAGGAUUGGCUCUCGUCUGAUUAGCUGGUUGGUGAGGUAACGGCGCACCAAGGCGACGACCAGUAGCUGGUCUGAGAGGAAGAUCAGCCUCACUGGGACUGAGACACGGCCCAGACUCCUACGGGAGGCAGCAGUGGGUGAUAUUGGACAGUGGGGGCAACCCUGAUCCAGCCACGCCGCGUGAGUGAUGAAGGCAUUAGGGUUGUAAAGCUCUAUUGCCCGGGAAGAUAAUGACGGUACCGGGAGAAUAAGCCCCGGCUAACUUCGUG
rnacentral:rRNA from 1 species